GUUCACUUCGGCAGCACACCUACUAAAAUUGGAAUGAUACAGAGAAGAUCAGCAUGGCCCCUGUGAAAGGAUGACAUGCAAAUUCACAACGCAUUCCAUAAUUUU